GACGAACGCUGGCGGCGGGCUUAACACAUGCAAGUCGAACGGAAAGGCCCUGCUUGUGUGGGGUGCUCGAGGGGCGAACGGGUGAGAAACACGGGAGUAACCUGCCCUGGACUGUGGGAUAACUUCAGGAAAGUGGGGAUAAUACCUGAGAGGAGCGGCUGCUGCAUGGGGGGGGUCGGAAAGUUUCGGCGGUUUGGGCUGGACUCGGGGCUUAUCAGCUUGUGGGGGGGGGAGUUGCUUACCAAGGCUUUGACGGGUAGCCUGCCUGGGAGGGGGGACGGCCACCUUGGGACUGCGAGACGCCCCAGUCUCCUAUGGGAGGCAGCAGUGGGGAACAUUGCCCAAUGGGCGGACGCCUGUUGCAGCAACGCCGCGUGCGUGAUGACGGCCUUCGGGUUGUAAACCGCUUUCGCCUGUGACGAAGCGUGAGUGACGUUACUGGGUAAAGAAGCACCGGCUAACUACGUG
rnacentral:rRNA from 1 species